GUCAUUAUUUCUACGACUUGUGGCACAUGUCCGUUCAGGUUUUCCACCUUUUAUUUCGAAACUUGUCUUCACGUUUUCAUGAGUACCGGUUCGGAAGAUGGAGCGGAGCGAGUGAUUUAUUGUACUUCUGACGUAAAUUUGGACACGAGUAAUCGAAAGUGCAUAUACGAACAUAUAGACUAAACGUUUAAAAAAUAUGUGAGAUAUGUUUACGGUGAUAUGAUGUGUUUUAGAAGAUAUGAGAGAUAUUUGCAGUUCAUCAAAUGCAGUGUUUCAAUUAACCUUUUAGGUUACGUCACGUUUGUAGAACGUGUUCCGUAAGUGAAUAUGCAGUGCUCUAUGAAAAAGCAAGAACACUAUUGUUGGUCAGCAGAUUGGAAGUGAAUGAAAGUGAAGCCCUCUCUGAGAUCCGGAAGCAAGGCGCCUGGGAAUCUGGCAGAAUAUCCGAACAGAAUUACGUCACACAGCUUGGGAUACUGGUUUGUGGCUGCUACUGCAAGAGGAUUAGGAAGUGCGGUCCGUGUUUACACCUGAUGAGAUACAUCUCAGGACUUAGGAGGGAACAUCUGCAUAGAAGUCUGAAGAAAUGCUGGACACAGUGACCGAAAAUUAUUUGGAUGAUUUAGCUGUAUCCUUUCAUGCAGAUUUCUGAAGAUUUUCCACAAUGUCAACCUUAAGGACAUCCAGUUACGCUACAGGAAAUUUAAAAGAUGGGAUAAAAUAAUCUCAGUGGAAUCGUGGAAAACUGUGAAGUGCGACGGUGAGUCUGACGUUGAUACGGUUAUUAUACGAACUGGACGCAUGAUCCGUGAUCUUCAAGUGCAAGUUAUACUUCUGAAAUUCAGCAAUUUUAUUACAAAUCUUUAUAAGUAAACACCUGAAUUCAGAUUUUAAAUUGUUUAUUACAUAUUCACAAUUUAUUUGAGGUUUAGGAUCGGCUGUAUAAUUAUUCCGGUGUGGUAAUGCGUGUGCAAGACGUUGAAGUGGUUUCAGAGAUCCAAAUAUGAACAAGUAUUAAAUUCAAACUUCACCACAUGCGUAAAACAAAUUAAAGUUCUACUGUUAAUUCUCGUGGACAUAUUUAAUCGUGUGUGGAUACUACGAAAUAAAAAUUCUUACUCCAUUCAGUGCAUUGUGGCUUACGAAAGUUCUCCAUGUUGGAAGAUGGCACCUAACAUCCAUA